UACAGAGGUCCCAAGCGUUGUUCGGAUUCAUUGGGCGUAAAGGGUGCGUAGGUGGCGCCGUAAGUCGGGUGUGAAAUUUCGGAGCUUAACUCCGAAACUGCAUUCGAUACUGCGGUGCUUGAGGACUGGAGAGGAGACUGGAAUUCAUGGUGUAGCGGUGAAAUGCGUAGAUAUCUGGAGGAACAUCGGUGGCGAAGGCGGCAUCCUGGACCGGUAUUGACGCUGAGGUGCGAAAGCGUGGGGAGCAAACAGG
rnacentral:rRNA from 1 species